rnacentral:lncRNA from 1 species
CCAAUUUGGGUUCAAAAUAGACUUAACGAGAUCUCUCUGUUGCCUUUAUUUUAAAACAAUGUACCAUACCUGGGAAGCAGGCAUUGCUUCAGAAGUUUAUUCUUGUUGGUCUGAGCUUUGUCUUAGAGCAGACCCCUUUGCACUGAUGCUAGGUGCCAUCCCUGCAGUGAGCCUCCCUGCUACAAAGAGUUUAACUCUGAUAUAUGGUACUAUAAAAUUCUUAUUUUGUAGAAAUGAAGACUUAGAGUCACCUACAGAAAACACAGCGUGCUGGAGCAUAAAACCACUAAGGGCUGCAGAGUUCUCCAAUAUUAAGACAUAACUGGCUUUGCCUUGGACAGAGUUCCUGAAGACAGAAGAAGUUACCUGUGUUACCAGAGGGACCUAACACAGAAGGUGUUUCUCUAGGUGAAAAAUGGCUGUCCUCUUUAUAGUUGUGGUGGGACAUCAGCACCUCCACAGAGUGAUUUGCUCCAUUUUGUCCAUCCUGGGACACAGUGAAGGAAAGUGGUGUGAAUCGCACUCCCGAGGUGUCUUCCUUCUCCAAGACCUGUAAAGAGCCUCUUGGCAAGACAGCUUCCACGAGGAAUGGUAGAAUCAGAUGGGGGAAAGUUACAUGGGACAAUUUUCCCUUUGAAUGAUAAUGCGUUCUCAUGAAAUGGAGUACAAAAAGUCACCCUUGACCACUAGUGGAAAAAAGCAGAGACUCAUGCCCAAAAUACAUGAGGUCAACCCUAGGGCCCAAAUGGGUUGGGGAAGCUGCAUAAAGGUCUACUUUCAGCUGCCUGUCAUGGAACAUUAACCUGCUUUUGGUGCUAUCUAAAAUUAGAAAGGCAUAUCAUGGGUAUGUCCUGAAUCUCAGUAGAUAACUUGCUUUUUGUAAUAGCCCUGAACUAGAGAGGGAACAGCUGUAGGCCCUGUGUCUCAUCCACAUCAAUCAGCUUUUGUUGAAUGUAUCUUAGAAUGGUGAUUACAGGCAAAUAACAUAUUGACAUAUUAAAAUUGGCAUCUUCUCAUUGCAAAGCGUUUGCCAAUGCCCAUUUAUUGUAUUUACUGCAGCAAUACUGGCAGGAAGCUGGGGAAAAUGAGUUUGGGCCAGAUCAACUUUCCAAAGGCCCUGA